AUGAUGCAUCAUAACACACUCGAGAAAUGAAUUGUUUAGAGUAGAGGUUUCGGCUAGUCUCAGCCAGCCGUGCUACGCAAAUUUUGGGUCACUAGGGCAGCCGCCGUGAAUUUGGCUAUUGUAAGCUGCGCCAGCCGCCGGUGGAAAAGGGUCAAAAAUUAAAAUUGCAGGAGAAAAAAUGUCUUCCGGCCCUCUGGGCCGUUAAUCACUAUCAAACUUCGCGUUUAAAAUAUUGUCUGCCGCGCCAGCCACCGGUGAAAAUUGACUGCCGCCGGGCAAAAAAUUCGGCUGAGCCGGUCCCGCCGGCCGCCGCCUUAAAACUCGCGGCUGAGAUCUCUAGAAUGAAAGCAAAGAUUCAUCAGGGAAGUCACUCCACUAGAGAAAGAAAAUAUGCGUCAAAAACUGAGAGUUGAAGAGGAAAACUUGUUUUACCUCAGGCACCCAUACUUGACAUUUGCACAAGAAGAAUUGUAUCAAAAAGCGC